UGGGGAAUUGUUCACAAUGGGCGCAAGCCUGAUGACGCAACGCCGCGUGGGGGAUGAAGGUCUUCGGAUCGUAAACCCCUGUCGAAUGGGACGAAAGACUCGCGAGUGAAUACUUCGCGAGAGUGACGGUACCGUUAAAGGAAGCCACGGCUAACUCUGUGCCAGCAGCCGCGGUAAUACAGAGGUGGCAAGCGUUGUUCGGAAUUACUGGGCGUAAAGGGCGCGUAGGCGGCCCUCUAAGUCAGACGUGAAAUCCCCGGCUUAACCUGGGAACUGCGUCUGAUACUGGAGGGCUUGAGUAUGGGAGAGGGAUGUAGAAUUCCAGGUGUAGCGGUGAAAUGCGUAGAUAUCUGGAGGAAUACCGGUGGCGAAGGCGGCAUCCUGGACCAUUACUGACGCUGAGGCGCGAAAGCUGGGGGAGCAAACGGGAUUAGAUACCCAAGUAGUCCCUGAGCGGGCUGGCAAGGCGCAU
rnacentral:rRNA from 1 species